AGUGAACGCUGGCGGUAGGCCUAACACAUGCAAGUCGAACGGCAGCACAGUAAGAGCUUGCUCUUACGGGUGGCGAGUGGCGGACGGGUGAGGAAUACAUCGGAAUCUACUUUUUCGUGGGGGAUAACGUAGGGAAACUUACGCUAAUACCGCAUACGACCUACGGGUGAAAGCAGGGGAUCUUCGGACCUUGCGCGAUUGAAUGAGCCGAUGUCGGAUUAGCUAGUUGGCGGGGUAAAGGCCCACCAAGGCGACGAUCCGUAGCUGGUCUGAGAGGAUGAUCAGCCACACUGGAACUGAGACACGGUCCAGACGCCUACGGGAGGCAGCAGUGGGGAAUAUUGGACAAAGGGCGCAAGCCUGAUCCAGCCAUACCGCGUGGGUGAAGAAGGCCUUCGGGUUGUAAAGCCCUUUUGUUGGGAAAGAAAAGCAGCAGGUUAAUACCCCGCUGUUCUGGCGGUACCCAAAGAAUAAGCACCGGCUAACUUCGUG
rnacentral:rRNA from 1 species